GGCAGGUAAGCGAGCCAAUCAGAAGGCGGAGCUAAGUUCGGCCCGGUGUUCAAUGGGCAGCGAAAAUCCUCCCAUGGUUGAACAGCCACGAUUGACAGCAAAUCUGGUGGACUGCAGAAGACAACCGCAUGGGAUACCGAGCUCUAAUGGACCUUUGGGAAGAGAAGCUGUGGCUUAUGUGGAAUUUACAUGGGCCUCCUGGUGGAAGAAAGCUUAUCUGUUUAGUAUUUGUGCAUUUUACUAAAAUGGCAGCUUUAAAAAAAAAAAAAAAAGUUGUGUAUCUGCUAUUGUGAUGCCAAUGCCCGUGUUUUAAGUGGAAAAAAAAAAUGACCUCUUUGCUUUGUGCUGUGUACACAAGAUUGCUGGAAAAGUAAAGGAAUACCCUUUUUAUGGCUCACACAGCUUAAAAGUAGCUGUCACUCAAACAUGCGCUCACAGUUGAGCUGAUUUUGUUUCAUUCUAAAUAAAUUGUUUCUUUUGAGGAAAAUGGUUUUUCUGCCUGGAAGUGAAUUGACGACAAACGUUUGGCCCCUGUGUUGGCAGCGGAGGGGUUCCUGCUGCUGCUGCCCAAUUGAGCUGAUAGUUGUGGGUCUUGAGCAAGAAGCAGGGAGAGCACCGACACUUUUGCGUUGAUCGACCUGUGGUACCAGUCAGAAGAAUUUGUGUCUGAUGGCCUUGCUGUGGCCCCCGUGUUUGCAGUGAAAAUGGGGUCACUUGCUGCGUUUCUCCUCAGCGGGACGGGGCAGCGGUGCUGCUGCUGGCACACAAGAAGCAGGGAAGCACCACCCUGCGCCUCGGAACGGUGGCCAAGUCUGGGGCUUCGCUGGUUGGAAGAGCUGGAGUUCCUGAAUUUUAAGUUUCUCUGAUUUAUUUUGUUCACCCAACAUGUUUGCCUUUAGUUUUGAUUCUUGGUUUUUUUUUUUAAUUUUGAAGAAAAAAAGUUUUGAAAUUGCUUUGAAUCUUGCACGUAAAACCUUUGCACCAAAAUUGCCAAAAGAAAAAGAGAAAUGAGUCCUUAAAAGUGUUUAAAUGCUGUUAAUAAAGCCUUUCCUGCCGUACGCGAGGCGCUCCUCCAUCUCCAGGGGCUUUUCAGCAGUUGUGGGUUUAGUGCUGAAUGGAUGAAGAGUUCCUGAGAGCUGGAGGCGGUAAUUUAAACCUUUGCGUGGUGUCUCAGUGCCUUAUUUUGACGGUUUUGAAGCCAGUGGUUCCACACGCCUCGGAUGUGCAUGUGCCCUGCUCGCGUCCCGGCCCCGCCGCGCACUCCGUGCAGUCGCUCCCGGUGUAGUGCAGACGGGGAGAGGAACAGCCGGAGGCGGCCUGAAAACGUUGUGUGCUGUAGCUCUCCUGUCCCGGGGGCUCCUGAGCUUUGGAAAGCUGUUCCCGUGCAGGAGCACAACUCCGUGUCUGCUGCCUGAGGACCGCGGCCGUCGAGAGGAAGCCGCCACCGCUGCGUCGUCGGCUUCAGGAUCUCCCGUGCUGUGCUCGUGGUAGAAUUCCUGUGACCUGCCAUGAAGACACCUUGAACGCUUGCCCUGUUUGCCUUGCCACACUUUAACUUCCAUGGAUAACCCCCUGCAGCCGGGCAGGAGCUUUGCUAGGCUGCAGAUGCCUCUCAGCUGACGGAUGCAGUGGUUGUGCUCUGCAAGGUGUCAAAGCGCUGUGUAAAUCCCUAAAACAGCGCCAGGUGUGAGCAGAGAAGUGUCUGAGCACCAGCCUGGGCCUGCUGAGUGGAAAAACAAAGGUCUGAAGACUCUUCACCCCCCUCCCAGCCCGCUGGCAGGAUGGUGCAGGGCUCCUGGGAGCAGUCUCUCAUUGUGGGCAUUGGUUUCCUCAACAAGAGGUCCCGUGUGCUGUGGCAGUAACUGUGCCUGGGAUGUGGAGAGGCCCCCCUGCUGCAUCCUUCCCCCAGAGAGAGGAGCUCCUGGAGCAGCUGGUCCUGGUGGAAGUGUCACCCUGCCCUCCCUGUCCCUGCUCUCGUCCCCCCAGGGCCAGCUGUUUGUGUGUGAGCAGAAUGAGCUGCAAUCUCUGGCAUGGGAGCUGCUCAUCCCACGAGUAAGGAGAAAGUGGCUGAUGGAAGAUCCCCUUGGACUGAAGGGAUGACUUGCACAUGUUGGUAUUUGCAACAUCUGGGCUGCAAACCCUCUGUUCUCCAGCCUUGUCUUGUGUGAGCAGACCCAGUUUCAUGUCCUUUGUCUAGCAGGAGAGACCCCAGGCCAGGAGCUGGAAGUGAACUUGAUAAAAGUAGCUCUGGAAGGACUUAAAAGGAAAAGCUGAAUUCCACUGAGCCUCGGGAAUGUCUGGAGGAUUCAGGUCACCUUUUAAAGUGACCUCCAAGUGUUGGGUUUGGUCCUGGAUAAUCAUGUGGGCAGUCCUUUGGAAGGUGGAGAGUUCCUCUCUUUGAAUCUAAAAUCUGCAAAGUGCUGGGAGCUGCUGCUGCACAUAAAAACCCAAAUCCAGUCCCAAAUGUGGUGUGGGGUGGGUGGGUGUGGGGCAGCAGCUGAGCCAGAUCUGCUGCUGGCGUGAAAUGCAAUUCCUCUGGAGACAUCCAUGGAAUCCAGACAUCCACGGGCUUCCAUGAGCUCCACAAGCAGCAGAUCUGGACCAAACCUGGGCUUCUCACACCCAGGCAGGGACAGCAUGCAGUCCCUGGGGUCCUGGGCUCGGAGCCAUGGAAGGGGAGGGUGCCAGUGCAGUGUGGGGUCAGUGCUGGAGCAGAGGCACUGCCAUUCCCGGCUGUAGAUUGCCACAGGAGGUUUUAGAAAGCACAGAACAGCUGCUUUUGCCCACUCUCAGUUUCUCUUGGCUCACUGCUGUCUCGGGGGCAGUCCCUGUGUUUGCUCCUCAGGGAUGUCCUGGGAGCCACCUGCUGGAGGAGCUGCAGCUGGAGAGGAGGAUCCAUCCCCUGCUGGGAUCCAUCCCCUGCUGGGAUCCAACCCCUGGUGGGAUCCAACCCCUGGUGGGAUCCAUCCCAUACUGGGAUCCAUCCCCUGCUGGGAUCCAUGGAUCCAUCCCCUGCUGGGAUCCAACCCCUGCUGGGAUCCAACCCCUGCUGGGAUCCAUCCCAUAGUGGGAUCCAUGGAUCCAUCCCCUGCUGGGAUCCAUCCCCUGCUGGGAUCCAUCCCAUAGUGGGAUCCAUCCCAUACUGGGAUCCAUCCCCUCCUGGGAUCCAUCCCCUGCUGGGAUCUAUCCCAUAGUGGGAUCCAUGGAUCCAUCCCCUGCUGGGAUCCAUCCCAUAGUGGGAUCCAUGCCCUGCUGGGAUCCAUCCCAUAGUGGGAUCCAUUGAUCCAUGCCCUGCUGGGAUCCAUCCCAUAGUGGGAUCCAUCCCCUGCUGGGAUCCAUCCCAUACUGGGAUCCAUGCCCUGCUGGGAUCCAUCCCAUACUGGGAUCCAUGCCCUGGUGCUGCACUGGAGGACUCUCCCAUGGCCCUGAGGUUCAUUCCCAGGGCUGGGACCAGUUUCUGCUGCCUGGAAGUCUCUGGGAUGUGGAGAGGGGAUGCUGAGGUGGUUAUUUGUGAGAGGAACAGGACAGAGUGCUCCAGUUGAGUUCUGAUUUAUUGCAAUUCCUAAAAUAUCCUUCAGGAUAUUUCUUAAUUUUUAUUUUCCUGGAUUUUUUUGGUGCUGAAUGGGAUUUAGGUGCAGUGGGAUUCACCAGCACUGCCUCACUGGCAGCACAGCCACCAACUUCCAUCACACCCCAACCUUUUGAAGCAUCUCCAGUCUCUACCCCAGUUAAUUUCCAAAACAAAACAAUAAUCACUCCUGCUGCAGGAGGCUGAGCUAGGAGCUUGUGGUGCUCAAACCCCAGCAAAGCAGCAGUUUUGUGAGGAAUGCUGGAAAAUCCCAGCAAUGGAAUCCAGACUAAACAUUCCCAGCACUGCUGGUGCUGCCAGCUGGGUCAAGCUGUUUAAAUGGUACUGCUGAUCUUUAAUCAGAAGUUUUAUUUAUUCCUGAUGCCCUGAGGAGCAAAAUUCAGUGGGAAGGUGAAGGUAAAAUUUAGCAAAUGUCUAAAUACGAGUGCCAGCAGAGCUUUUGAUGACUCCAUCCUCUCCCUUUUCACCACCCAGAUUUCCUGGAUCUGGAGUUUGUCCUCUGGGGGCUGGAAUCUCUUCCAGAAUUUGCUUUACAGGCUUUGCUUCAGCUCUUUUGCAUUUUGAGUCAGUGAUUUGUGGAAAUAAACUGUGCCCUUCUCUCCUCAGCUUGCUCCUGGCUGCCAAAAUAAUGUUUAUUCUGCUUUGGGCUGGGUUUUUUCAGCAUCCAGAGGUGCCAGUGGAUGGGGAGCUCUGAAGGAGACUCCAAACUUUCCCUUUGGGUCCUGCCAGCUGCCCCUGGAUUUCAGGGCUUUCAGCUGAACACAUUUUCAGGUAAGUCACCUUUUCCUUCCAUUAGGCUUUGGUCUAAUAUGCAAAUUAGGCAAUUUUACCCUUUGCAGUUCUCAUUAGCCAUCAUUAUUUCCACUGUGUAAAAACGCUUGGGUUUGGUGAAAUUGUAAUUCUGAACUCAAGAUUUCUGGGAAGUGAGAGCACCGAAUCCCAGGCUCUCACAGAGUGUUUAAAUCCUGCUCUCUGCAAGGAACAGAUGGUUUUGGACACUUCAUCAGGAGUUUUUUGUCUCACUCAGUUUUCACACUUAAAACUGCAUUGCAAGAGAAAAUUGCAGAACUUCUCUUGGAUCCCAAGCCUGGAAACUGAGCUCUGGAUUGUUUCCAUCUUGCUCUGCCUGUGACAAGAUGGAUCAGGGAGUGUUUUGCUUCUUGGCUUUAUUUGGCCUUUAUUUAUCCCACCUGCCUUAAGCCUGGUUUCUCUGGAAAGCUUUUUGCAGGAAAAAAAGCAAAAAGCUUCCCAUUAGUGCAGAUAUCUUGCAGCUGGAUGGAAAUUUAACUUUUUUAACUGCAGUGUGAGUGUGGAGAAGUGACAGCCAGGGUGUUUAGGCCCUGCUGUUUGUUACUGAGGGAUGGCUGAGGGCUCAGUGCACCCCUUGGACAGCAGCAGGGAUCUGCAGUCCAGGCUGUGCAUCACCCUGACAUGGGAGGCUCCUGGGCAGUGAAAUGUUUUGGCUCCUUGAAAUUGCACCCACACACAGAGCAGAGCCAGCCCAGGGAUGUUGAUUGGGAACAUUCAUUUUUCCCUGUGCAUGGAGCUGGAGUUUACAGAACCCUUGGCAGCUUCCAGCCAGGCCCCUCUGCAGGCUGGGGGCAGCUGAUUUGGAGGGCAGGGAACAAAAAAUGAUGGUUUGGGUUGGAAAGGGCCCUAAAGCUGCUCCCAUUCCACCCCUGCCAUGGCAGGGACACCUCCCACUGUCCCAGGCUGCUCCUAGCCCUGUCCAGCCUGGCCUUGGGCACUGCCAGGGAUCCAGGGGCAGCCCCAGCUGUGCCAGGACCUCCCCACCCUCCCAGGAACAAUUCCUUCCCAAUAUCCCAUCCACCCCUGCCCACUGGCAGUGGGAAGCCAUUCCCUGUGUCCUGUCCCUCCCUCCCUUGUCCCCAGUCCUUCUCCAGCUCUCCUGGAUCCCCUGUAGGCUCUGAGCUCUCCCCAGAGCCUUCUCCUCUCCAGGUGAGCACCCCCAGCUCUCCCAGCCUGGCUCCAGAGGGGCUCCAGCCCUUGGAGCAUCUCCAUGGGCUCCUCUGGACUCUCUCCAGCAGCUCCAAGUCCUCCUGCUGUUGUUUCCAGGGCUGGGACAGCUCUGGGGUCUCAACUGAGCGGGGCAGAGGGGCAGAAUCCCCCCUCCCCUGCUGCCCAGGCUGGGGGCUCAGCCCAGGAGCAGUUGGGCUGCAGGGAAGGGAAAGCUUUGUCCUGGCCAAGCUGUUUGGAGGAGAACAAGUCCCCUGCUCUUAGCAGAGGCUGGACACUCAUUCCUAAGCACUUGAAAUCACCCAAAUCCUCACAGCUGCCUUGGUUUCCUGGCAGAGGGAGAAGAGCAAAGGCUUUUCAUGCUCCUUAUCUCUGGGCCCAGAGCUCUGGUGGCUGAGCUGUGUAAUCUCUGUCAAAACAAGAGAUUACUGAGGCUUCUCCUGAUGUUCCAGUGCCUCUGCCUGGUGGGAAUCUUGCUGAGUCUGUCCUUGCUUCCCCUCCAGUCCAAGUUCAGUGUUAUUUGAACACCACUGGGAGUAAAAUCCAUGGGAAUGUGCUUGUUACCCUGCUGUGCUCAGGGCUGAGCUCUGCACGUGGGGCUUCACUGCAUUUUCCAGAGAUUCCAGGCAGCAUUUUCUAAAUACUCCAGGCAGCGUUUUCCAAGCUGCUGGUUGGGUUUUGCAGAUUCCCAAGCAAAAUGUUGCCUGUCUAUAAAAAUACAUUUCUGAAAUAGGAUUUUUUCCUUUUUUUCCUCUCUCUGUUAGAACAGAAAACCCAUUCUGGGAUGGAUCCCUGUAGGAAAGUGAACCAGCAGCAGGUUUAUCCCUGGAUUUCUGGGGUGGGUGUGGGUUUUGUAUAACAUC